rnacentral:rRNA from 1 species
CGUCCCUGCUCCUUGCACACACCGCCCGUCGCUUCACCCGAGUUUGGCUUGGACGAGGUUGCUUCUAAUUGGGGCAAUCGAAUCUUGGUUAGGCAAGGGGGAG